rnacentral:rRNA from 1 species
AUUGAACGCUGGCGGCAUGCCUUACACAUGCAAGUCGAACGGUAACAGGUCUUCGGAUGCUGACGAGUGGCGAACGGGUGAGUAAUACAUCGGAACGUGCCCGAUCGUGGGGGAUAACGAAGCGAAAGCUUUGCUAAUACCGCAUAAGAUCUACGGAUGAAAGCAGGGGACCGCAAGGCCUUGCGCGAACGGAGCGGCCGAUGGCAGAUUAGGUAGUUGGUGGGAUAAAAGCUUACCAAGCGGACGAUCUGUAGCUGGUCUGAGAGGACGACCAGCCACACUGGGACUGAGACACGGCCCAGACUCCUACGGGAGGCAGCAGUGGGGAAUUUUGGACAAUGGGCGAAAGCCUGAUCCAGCCAUGCCGCGUGCAGGAUGAAGGCCUUCGGGUUGUAAACUGCUUUUGUACGGAACGAAACGGUCCGGGUUAAUACCCUGGGCUAAUGACGGUACCGUAAGAAUAAGCACCGGCUAACUACGUGCCAGCCGCCGCAGUAAUAC